rnacentral:rRNA from 1 species
CUGCUGCCUUCCGUAGGAGUUUGGUCCGUGUCUCAGUACCAAUGUGGGGGUUGACCUCUCAGUCCCCCUAUGUAUCGUCGCCUUGGUGAGCCGUUACCUCACCAACUAGCUAAUACAACGCAUGUCCAUCUCUGACCACCUUGAGUUUUCAACCACCGAAGAUGCCUCCGGUGAUGUUAUGGGGUAUUAGUACCAAUUUCUCGAUGUUAUCCCCCUGUCAAAGGUAGGUUACAUACGCGUUACGCACCCGUCCGCCGGUCGCCGG